rnacentral:rRNA from 1 species
GAUGAACGCUGGCGGCAUGCCUAAUACAUGCAAGUCGAACGAGAGGAAGGAAAGCUUGCUUUUCUGAAUCUAGUGGCGAACGGGUGAGUAACACGUAGGUAACCUGCCCAUGUGCCCGGGAUAACUUCUGGAAACGGAUGCUAAAACCGGAUAGGUAGCAGACAAGCAUUUGACUGCUAUUAAAGUGGCUAAGGCCAUGAACAUGGAUGGACCUGCGGUGCAUUAGCUAGUUGGUGAGGUAACGGCCCACCAAGGCGACGAGGCGUAGCCGGCCUGAGAGGGCGGACGGACACAUUGGGACUGAGACACGGCCCAAACUCCUACGGGAGGCAGCAGUAGGGAAUUUUCGUCAAUGGGGGGAACCCUGAACGAGCAAUGCCGCGUGAGUGAGGAAGGUCUUCGGAUCGUAAAGCUCUGUUGUAAGAGAAAAACGACAUUCAUAGGGAAUGAUGAGUGAGUGAUGGUAUCUUACCAGAAAGUCACGGCUAACUACGUGCCAGCCGCCGCGGUAAAAC